UUUUCAGAUUUUAUUGUUUUUUUAUACAUACAUAUAUAAUUUUUUACUGUAAUUUUAAAUUUACAAGUAGUUAUACAUAUUACAAUAAACACGUAUAUUUACAAACAUAAAGAACGAAUAAAAAUGGAUUUAAGUGAUGUUGAAUUAGCAGUUAUAAUGAAUACAUGGAAAGUACCAAUGGGUGAUCCGGAAGGUUCUGGACAAGUUAUAUUAUAUAGAUUCUUUGAAAAAUAUCCUCAUAACAUGGAAUAUUUUGAAGCAUUUAAAGGAAAACCAUUGAAAGAAGCUAAGGAGGAUGCAAAAUUUAAGGCACAUGCUGGUAGAAUUGUUCGAGCCUUUGAUAAUGCAAUUAAAGCAGCUGAGGAACGUGGCAAAGAUGCUGUAUUAAGUAAAGCUCAAUGGGAUAGAUUAGCUAGUAGCCAUUUAAAACGACACAUUCCCAAAGACUCAUUUAUGGAAUUAAAAGGAAUCGUUUUAGAAGUUCUCGCCGAAGUUUGUCAUUUAAAUGAUUUUCAAAGUACAGCUUGGGAAAAGUUACUAAAUUAUCUGUUUGGUGUUAUGCUCGAUCAAAUGACUAAACUUGAAUGAGUAAUAUUUCAUUUUUGUCCAAGAACCAAUAUAUAUGUAUUUACAAAAAUUAUGGGAAACAAUAAUGAGAGAAUAAAAAUCGCAUAUCAAAAAGAAAAUCUAUCAAUUUUAAAUAUGUAGUCAGACAAAUUUGGAAGCCUUGGAAAAUUCCCUCUGGCCUUUAAUAUGUUUUUAUUAAAUUCAACCAAAAUGUUUACUUUGUGUUUUAUGUUGUUCACUAAAAAAGUUUUUGUCUUUAUUUUUUUUUUAUUAAAGCGAUUGCAUUUUUUUCAAAUAUAAAAAUAUCAAAUUUGUUGCUCCUUUGCAAAUUUAGUUGGAAAAUUGUAAUUUUGUAAUACAUGUAUGUAUAUAUUAUGUAAAUGUCUAGGUCUGCGUUUGUGUUAAGAAAAUUAAAAAAAGGAUGUUCACAAAAUCAAGAAACCAUAUUGUGAAAAAAUAAACGAAAUAAAAGAAUAUAAUAGUUUAAGAUAAAUAUUUUAUGUGAAAACGAUUAACGGGUUAAAAAAUUUUUGAAAUUAAUUGAAAUAAAUGCACAUAUUUCUUAAAUGUAAAUAAGACAAAGGUUUUUUAAUUUAAUCAUAUUUAGUUAUCUAAAAGUAGGCAUUGGAGCUUUUAAAAUCGCUCGUAUUACAAAAUUGAAUUUAAGUGUAAGUGAACUAGUUCGUUUGUUGUAUUAUUGAAUUCUAAAAUCUAAUUAAAAUGUUAGAAUUUUAGUAUUAAAAUUUACAGUGCAGUUAAAGAUUUUCUUUUGUUUCUCGUCCUAAGGCGUUUCACCAAGCCUUAAAUUAUCACCAUUAAAUUUAGAAAAAAUGUUGCUAAAUAAACUGAUAAUUAAAUUUUAAUUUCAUAGAUUACAUCAAAGUUACCAAUCAUAGAGCACAUUUGAAUUUGAAGAGAAUGCACCUUCGACAGCUAAUUAAAUAACAAUAUGAAAUAAAGUAAUUAAACCGAAUAUUAAAUUCUCAUUAAAUACUUACUUAAAUUUUCGCUAUAUUCUAGUAAAUUUUUCGAAUUAAAUUUUGAUUAAUAAUUUCGUAACAUAUGUACAUCAAUAUUUUUCACAAUCUUCUGCACUCUAGAUUCACGCAUUUUUAGAUUGCCGGUUGAACUCCGUAAUUUUUGAUUAUUUAAUUAAUCAUUCCCGUAAUUUCAUUCCUUGGUAACUAUUAAAUGACCAAAACCAAAUUGGGUGAUAUAUUAAUAUAAUUGAUGGAUUUAUUGGAAGUAAAAGUCAAUUUUACUUUCGGUAGUUACCACUAAAAUUAUUUAGCCAUUAAAUUUAUUUUAUAUAUAAUAUGUAAAUCAAUUGAUAUUUUUUCCAUUUGUAUUUUUCAUUCAACAGGUGAAAAAAAUUGGUUUGAAAAUGGAUAUGAGCGAUUGCGAAAUGGGUGUUGUGAUGGCGAGUUGGAAAGUUCUUAUGGAGAAUCCAGAAGAAACUGGGAAAGCAGUGUUGGGGAAAUUUUUUGAAGAGCAUCCACAGUAUGUAGAAUAUUUUAAUGCUUUCCGGGGAAAAACAUUAGCGGAAAUAAAAAAUAUUACAUUUUUGUAUUCAGCAAGAACCGAAAUUUGCCUUUCAUGCGGGUAAAAUUGUUUAUGCAUUUGAUAAUGCAAUAAAAGCAGCAGAGGAACGAGGACGUGAUGCCAUACUUGGUAAAGCAUCUUGGGAUAAAUUAGCAAAGGAUCAUUUGGAAAGAAAAAUUCCGAAACAAGCUUUUAAAGAUUUACAAACAGUAAUGUUGAAUGUUAUAGCAGAUGUCUGCAAUUUGAAUCAAUUCCAAAGAAAUGCAUGGGAGAAAUUAUUAAAAUAUUUAUUUGGUAUCAUAACAUCAAUUUUAAAUUAAUUUACUAUAAUUACGUAUAUGGUUUUUAUGUUUAUUUUAAAAAGUGUUCGAGAAAAACCGCACGAUGAAAUUUAAGGAAUUCCAAGGAGUUCAUCAACUAAAAAAUCAUAAUUUAUAACAUAAAACUAUACUUUAAUGAUAGUUGAAAGUAAAUGUAUCUCUAUCAGCUUAAUGUAAUGAUCUAAAAAUUUCCUAAUUGGUGUUCUGAUUUGUGUACAAAUUAUUAUUAUAAAAAAAUAUAAGUGAGUUGAU